CCUCUAUAAUGAUAAUCAUGGCUUAGACAUGUAGUUUUGACAUGUAUUAAUGUUUUUUUUAAGUAGUCUAGAUUUUUAGUUAAUAAAAAUUGAAUUGAUACAUAUGUUGUGCUCAUAGUACUUUUUUCUUAUUCAAUAGAGUAGCUUUUAUUGAUUAAUUUUUUUCAUAAUGGGGCAGGGAUGGGGAAUCCCUGAUUUGAAUAUUGCAGGUAUGAAUGCAUGAAGGGGGUGAAAAUGCUUAACAGGGACAGGGAUUGGAAUGGUAUACCCACCCCGAUUCGAUCCAUUGCCACCACUCGUCGCUCGCUCUCACAUCCUCAAGCCGCAUCAUCUGUCUCCAUAUUCAGAGGUCGUAGAAAGAGUGGCAGUUCUGGCUGAGAAAUAAAGAUUCUCUACUGAUACAUGACCAAAAUAUCAAUUUCACCCCCUCAUUUGUUUUCUUUUCUGGGUUAAGAAGUUUUUCCUCUUGUUUCAAUUGGACCAAUAUCAAAAUGCAACAGGCAAAUCAGAAUUACAGUAGCAAAUAAAUUUGUCUUUACUGACAGACCAUAAAAAAUACAGGUGGAUGAGUUGAAGCAAGACCUGGGGGACUAGAAGAAUCUAGCAGAGCAUGUUACCAAACAGAUUGCAAAGCAUAAAUUUGAAAGAAUGUAAUCCCACUGGCAGAAGGGGAAAUAUCGAUACUAUUUAUUCUUGUACAUUGAGGAAAUACUUGUAACUUAAUGCAGUGGAUUUAUAAUAUUCAAUAAAUUUAAAAGAUUGUUUGACUU